rnacentral:rRNA from 1 species
GGACGCUCAUGAGGGUUUCGGCCCUUGUGGGAGUGGCGGACGGGUGAGUAGCGCGUGGGAACCUGCCUUGGAGUGGGGGAUAACCGAGGGAAACUUCGGCUAAUACCGCAUACGCCCCGGCGUGAGCCGGGGGAAAGAUUGAUCGCUCCAAGAGGGGCCCGCGUCGGAUUAGGUAGUUGGUGGGGUAACGGCCUACCAAGCCUUUGAUCCGUAGCUGGUCUGAGAGGAUGAUCAGCCACACUGGGACUGAGACACGGCCCAGACUCCUACGGGAGGCAGCAGUGGGGAAUAUUGGACAAUGGGCGCAAGCCUGAUCCAGCAAUGCCGCGUGAGUGAUGAAGGCCUUAGGGUUGUAAAGCUCUUUCGCCCGCGACGAUGAUGACGGUAGCGGGAGAAGAAGCCCCGGCUAACUUCGUG